GUCGAGCAGGGACGAAAGUCGGGACUAGUGAUCCGGCACCGGCAUGUGGAAGCGGUGUCGCUCAACGGAUAAAAGGUACCCCGGGGAUAACAGGCUGAUCUUCCCCAAGAGUCCAUAUCGACGGGAUGGUUUGGCACCUCGAUGUCGGCUCGUCGCAUCCUGGGGCUGGAGUAGGUCCCAAGGGUUGGGCUGUUCGCCCAUUAAAGCGGCACGCGAGCUGGGUUUAGAACGUCGUGAGACAGUUCGGUCUCUAUCCGCCGCGCGCGUUAGAAACUUGAGGAAGGCUGUCCCUAGUACGAGAGGACCGGGACGGACGAACCUCUGGUGUGCCAGUUGUCCCGCCAGGGGCACUGCUGGUUGGCUACGUUCGGAAGGGAUAACCGCUGAAAGCAUCUAAGCGGGAAGCCUGUUCCAAGAUGAGGUUUCUCACCCCCUCGAGGGGGUAAGGCCCCCGGCAGACCACCGGGUUGAUAGGCCAGAACUGGAAGUGCGGUAACGCAUGGAGGUGACUGGUACUAAUAGGCCGAGGACUUUCUAAC
rnacentral:rRNA from 1 species